GAUCAUGGCUCAGGAUGAACGCUAGCUACAGGCUUAACACAUGCAAGUCGAGGGGAAACGACAUCGAAAGCUUGCUUUUGAUGGGCGUCGACCGGCGCACGGGUGAGUAACGCGUAUCCAACCUGCCCAUCACUUGGGAAUAACCUUGCGAAAGUAAGACUAAUACCCAAUGAUAUCCCACGAAGGCAUCCGAAUGGGAUUAAAGAUUUAUCGGUGAUGGAUGGGGAUGCGUCUGAUUAG
rnacentral:rRNA from 1 species